GCCCCGGUAGCUCAGGCUGGUAGAGCACCGGCCCGGUAAGCCGGGGGUCGCGGGUUCAAGUCCCGCCCGGGGCU
rnacentral:tRNA from 1 species